GACGAACGCUGGCGGCGUGCUUAACACAUGCAAGUCGAAGAUAGUGGCGAACGGGUGAGUAAUACGUAGUAACCUGCCCUCAUUGUUGGGAUAAGCCUUGGAAACGGGGUCUAAUACCGAAUCAGGGGGAUGGGCUAGCGGGCUCUCAGCUUGUUGGUGGGGUGAUGGCAUACCAAGGCGGUGACCGGUCGACGGCCUGAGCGGGUGACCGGCAACAUUGGAACUGAGACACGGUCCAGACUCCUACGGGAGGCAGCAGUGGGGAAUAUUAGACAAUGGGCGAAAGCCUGAUCCAGCCAUGCCGCGUGUGUGAAGAAGGUCUUCGGAUUGUAAAGCACUUUAAGUUGGGAGGCGUUACCAACAGAAUAAGCACCGGCUAACUUCGUGCCAGCAGCCGCGGUAAUAC
rnacentral:rRNA from 1 species